rnacentral:rRNA from 1 species
UACGGAGGGUGCAAGCGUUAUCCGGAUUCACUGGGUUUAAAGGGUGCGUCGGCGGCCUGGUAAGUCCGUGGUGAAAUCACCGAGCUUAACUUGGGAACUGCCAUGGAUACUGUUAGUCUUGAAUGUCGUGGAGGUUGGCGGAAUAUGUCAUGUAGCGGUGAAAUGCUUAGAUAUGUCAUAGAACACCGAUUGCGAAGGCAGCCGGCUAACCUGUCUUUGACGCUGAGGCUCGAAAGCGUGGGUAGCGAACAGG